UAGGACUCGAUACUCUGACAUUGGCUGCAGUAAUCCAAGAAACUGUUGAGAAUUGCUCAGGUAGCCUUGAUCAUUGAUGGGAUCAGGAUAUGUGGAUGAGUCACUGGAUGAAAACGGGUCAAGUUGGAGAAGACAAGUCAAUGUCCAUUUCUGGAUGCAUGAAUUUGCACUCCCCGUGUCUCCAGCAAAUGAUGAUUCUUGCAGAAAUCAGAGUGGAACAACCUUUCAAAAUCUGAACACCUAGCAUGGAAAUUUUCUUGACAGGCUCAUGACUCAGACAAUUUCAGAGACAAGGUUCUUUCAGCUGGAGGAGUUGAUGGGAUUGCCCCUGGUGAUGAUGGCAUUAAAGUUCUAUUGAUGUACUGGAGCAACAAUUUGCAAAAAUAUUUGAGGUUCCUACUCUUAAAAAACCCAGCAAAUCAGGUAUUGAAAAUUGCAUGAAGGAUGAAGGGCUUAUACCCGAAAAAUCGACUCUCCUGCUCCUCGGAUGCUGCGUGACCGUCUGUGCUUUUAC